rnacentral:rRNA from 1 species
AUUGAACGCUGGCGGCAGGCCUAACACAUGCAAGUCGAGCGAGCGGCGGACGGGUGAGUAAUGUCUGGGAAACUGCCUGAUGGAGGGGGAUAACUACUGGAAAAGGUAGCUAAUACCGCAUACCAUCAGAUGUGCCCCGAUGGGAGUAGCUAGUAGGUGGGGUAACGGCUCACCUAGGCGCCGAUCCCUAGCUGGUCUGAGAGGAUGACCAUCCACAAUGGAACUGAGACACGGUCCAGCCUCCUACGGGAGGCAGCAGUGGGGAAUAUUGCACAAUGGGCGCAAGCCGGAUGCAGCCAUGCCGCGUGUGUGAAGAAGGCCUUCGGGUUGUAAAGAACUUUCAGCGGGUAGGCGUUACCCGCAGAAGAAGCACCGGCUAACUCCGUGCCAGCAGCCGCGGUAAUAC